AGAGAGCCAAAUACCAAAUUCAUUUUGCCCGCUCCUUUCUCUAUUACAGAAAACAACAUUCAAAUCUCUCACACACACAAACUGUCCUUCACCAAACCUCACUGAGAAUCACCUCACUGCAGCCCACCAUACGGAGGACAUCGCCAUGGCCAUGGCCACGGCCACCAGCACCGCCACCGCUGCAAAUCACCACCACCACAGCCACAGAUCACAGGAUAUUGCGGUUGCUGAUCUUGCUCCAACUCACCCUAUAAGGUUGGGGCUGCCACUCAACUUCUCGGUUUUCUACUAUGGGAUUCUAAAUGCAUUAGAGAAAGUUUGUAGCAUGGCUAAACAGGAAGAUGUCUAACUCAUGGUGGAAACAGGCUUGGAGGCUUAUAGGUUCUCCAUAUCUUGGUCAAGACUUAUCCCUAAUGGAAGAGGACCUGUUAACCCAAAGGGUUUAGAAAAAAACAACAACCUCAUCAAUGAACUUGUCAAACACGGUUACUCACAAUUUUGAGAUUUCCAUUAUAAACAUUGCAAUACUUUUUGUUAGCACUUGAGAAAAUAUCAAAGCAGUUUGUUUUUCUUGUAAAAGCAGGAAAAGGUACUUCCAAAAUGCCAACCAAAUGACAUCUCUCUCCUUUUCUCUCUGUGAUUAAUAUCAUUUUGUCUUUAUCAAAUGCACAUUGACGUACCUCAAGUUCUUGAAGAUGAAUAUGGAGGAUGGCUUAGUCGGAAAAUGGUGGGAGACUUCACAGCAUAUGCUGAGGUUUGCUUUAGGGAAUUUGGAGAUAGGGUUUUGCAUUGGACAACCGUGAAUGAGGGCAAUGUAUUUGUAAUUGGUGGUUAUGAUAUAAGAGGAAUACCCCCUCAGCGCUGCUCUGCUCCAUUUGGAAUAAACUGUUCUAAGGGUAACUCCUCAACUGAGCCAUACAUUGCUGCUCAUCAUAUCUUGCUGGCACACUCAUCAGCUGCAAGAUUGUACAAGCAAAUGUACCAGGUAUAUUAUAUUACAGGAGCUUUUUGGUAAGAUAUUAAGGAAUCUACUAUUCUUUACAUAGACUGCCUUUUAGUUUGUCAUACAAAUUAGAGAAUGGGUCACUGCUGUUUCCUUUGGUGGGGCUUACCUCAGGUUCAUUUUUGUGAUCCUGAUGUUCAUCUUAUAUUGUCGCAAAGCAAAUCAUUCAUUAAAAAAAAAAAUACGUUGAUCAGUAAUCAUAAUAGGAUCACCUUUGUUUUAACAAAAAUAGACGGCAAAUGUGAAUUUUGAGAGUAGAUCAUUCAUUUUUUCUAAAACAAAUGCUAGUUUUUU